CCGAUUUCGACGACAAAAAUGACUUCUUAUUCAGCUAACUGCUCCUAACUUUAAAUCCGUACAGCCUUGUUCAAAGAGAUUAAAAUAAAUGUGUAUAGGUACCUCGCAGUGAACUAAAAUUUUGGUUAAUAAUUUCGGUUUUUUAAGAGAUUUAAAAGCUCUCGCAAUUUCUCGUGACAUGCGCCUCUCUCAAGCCUUUAUUAGGUGAAUAUCAAAUUUUCUGGUUUCAAGUUUCUCGUCAGUUACAACAUCGCCGAGAUAGGUAAUGAACGCAUGACGUUAGCUGGUAAGAGUUUUUAUAUACUAGGCACCACACUAAUGAACUGACAAGAAGCGUUUGCCAUCCUGAAAGGAAUGGGAGCCAGUCAACACAGUUUUACGGUAAGUAAAAAAUAAGCAACCAGAACCAUUUGAACUCUUCACACUUUCAAACACCUUUGAAAAAGACGAUAAAAAAACGCUUGCACAACAUUGCAAACA
rnacentral:lncRNA from 1 species